rnacentral:rRNA from 1 species
CGGGGUAACAGGGGGUCAGCGUUAUCGGAUUACUGGGCGUAAGCGUGCGCAGGCGGUUGUGCAAGACCGAUGUGAAAUCCCCGAGCUUAACUUGGGAAUUGCAUUGGUGACUGCACGGCUAGAGUGUGUCAGAGGGGGGUAGAAUUCCACGUGUAGCAGUGAAAUGCGUAGAGAUGUGGAGGAAUACCGAUGGCGAAGGCAGCCCCCUGGGAUAACACUGACGCUCAUGCACGAAAGCGUGGGGAGCAAACAGGAUUAGAUACCCUGGUAGUCCACGCCCUAAACGAUGUCAACUAGUUGUUGGGGAUUCAUUUCCUUAGUAACGUAGCUAACGCGUGAAGUUGACCGCCUGGGGAGUACGGUCGCAAGAUUAAAACUCAAAGGAAUUGACGGGG